AUUCCACACAGGAAGGUCACACCAUCCCCCACCAUCAUCAGAGUGGAGACCUGAGAGAUUCUAAAGUUGAGGUUGAAGAAGAGUUUAUAAAGGUGGAUGAUGAGUAUGGAAUUAUGAAGGCGUUUUCUGAAGGACACAAUGAUCUCUAUAAGGAUAUCACGAUGGAGCCACCUAAUAAUAGAAACUCGCCAGAGAGAUCUCCUCAUAGUCUGCAUUCCCAGGAUUCCACACAGGACGAUCACAACUACUCUCAAGAUGUUCAGAGUGGAAACCUCGGGGAUGAUAAUAUUGAUGUUAAAGAAG